rnacentral:rRNA from 1 species
GAUGAACGCUGGCGGCGUGCCUAAUACAUGCAAGUCGAGCGAACAGACGAGGAGCUUGCUCCUCUGACGUUAGCGGCGGACGGGUGUGUAACACGUGGAUAACCUACCUAUAAGACUGGGAUAACUUCGGGAAGCCGGAGCUAAUACCGGAUAAUAUAUUGAACCGCAUGGUUCAAUAGUGAAAGACGGUUUUGCUGUCACUUAUAGAUGGAUCCGCGCCGCAUUAGCUAGUUGGUAAGGUAACGGCUUACCAAGGCGACGAUGCGUAGCCGACCUGAGAGGGUGAUCGGCCACACUGGAACUGAGACACGGUCCAGACUCCUACGGGAGGCAGCAGUAGGGAAUCUUCCGCAAUGGGCGAAAGCCUGACGGAGCAACGCCGCGUGAGUGAUGAAGGUCUUCGGAUCGUAAAACUCUGUUAUUAGGGAAGAACAAAUGUGUAAGUAACUAUGCACGUCUUGACGGUACCUAAUCAGAAAGCCACGGCUAACUACGUG